rnacentral:rRNA from 1 species
UACGUAGGGAGCAAGCGUUGUCCGGAAUCAUUGGGCGUAAAGCGCGCGUAGGUGGCUCUGUAAGUCCGUUGUGAAAGUCAAAGGCUCAACCUUUGAAAGCCGAUGGAUACUGCAGAGCUAGAGUACGGAAGAGGCGAGUGGAAUUCCCGGUGUAGCGGUGAAAUGCGCAGAUAUCGGGAGGAACACCAAUGGCGAAGGCAGCUCGCUGGGACGGUACUGACGCUGAGACGCGAAAGCGUGGGGAGCAAACAGG